rnacentral:rRNA from 1 species
GACGGGACCCGCACAAGCGGUGGAUGAUGUGGUUUAAUUCGAUGCAACGCGAAAACCUUACCACCUUUGACACGUACGGAACCUUUAGAGAUAGAGGGUGCUCGAAAGAGAGCCGUAACACAGGUGCUGCAUGGCUGUCGUCAGCUCGUGUCGUGAGAUGUUGGGUUAAGUCCCGCAACGAGCGCAACCCUUGUCAUUAGUUGCUACAUUCAGUUGGGCACUCUAAUGAGACUGCCGGUGACAAGCCGGAGGAAGGUGGGGAUGGCGUCAAGUCCUCAUGGCCCUUAUAGGUGGGGCUACACACGUCAUACAAUGGCUGGUACAAAGGGUUGCCAACCCGCGAGGGGGAGCCAAUCCCAUAAAGCCAAUCUCAGUUCGGAUUGUAGGCUGCAACUCGCCUACAUGAAGUCGGAAUCGCUAGUAAUCGCGGAUCAGCACGCCGCGGUGAAUACGUUCCCGGGCCUU